UUUUUUAUAUUCUCUCUAGAAAUAAAUCAUUUUUUCUUUCCUCUUUGUAACUUUCCCUUUCUCUCUCCUAUUCAAAUCUCUGUCGUCGGCGACCAGACCGACAGCUCCGAUAGCUUACGUACGCUACCAACCCCACCCUAAAUCACGCUCUUAAUUUUAACCACCCGCUUUAUGCUGAGGUACAAACCCUCGUUUUCUCUCUCUACAAAUAUACAUACAUAUAUAUACACAUCCAGUAAUAUAAAUCUCUAAUUUUUAAUCAAGAUACAUGAGUAGUCUCUUUUUAGAAUUUGGAAGUUUUUCUAACCCUUCAACUUGUUGUUUAUUGAUGCUGAAGGAUCUCAGUCCGAUAAUGUUGAAUUGUCGGAUAGUACUUUGAUGGCGCUGAAAUAUUAUGAGUUGAUGGAUUGGCGCAAGAAUGACGGAUGACUUCAGGAGUUCGGCUUCAGGAAUGUCAUCAAGAGUCGGGAUCGGAUUUUUCUUCGGGCUUGGCUUCGAGUUUAUUUUUUUUGUUAUGUUUUCAUUUUUUAUGGUAGUAGUAUUUUAUUAGGAAGUAAAUCUUUUAUGUUAUUACGUAAUUAAUUUUCGGCAUAAUUAUAGAAAGUUGUUACUUAUUAUAAGUUUAUUACCAGUUAUAUAUAGGAAUUCUGUUACAUUCAAAACCUUUUAGCUAUAAAAUUCGGUUUAUGGCUUGAAUUAUAGUCAAUUUUUUUUUUUAUUUUGAUAAUAUUAAUUCAAGCAUUAAAGAUUUUUCUCUGUG
rnacentral:lncRNA from 1 species